ensembl:ncRNA lncRNA:CR45377 long non-coding RNA:CR45377
AGCACGAAAACCGAAUAAAUCUCGAGCUGACGAAUUUCGCGCUGUGACUCCCUCUUAUGAUACUUAACUCAAAUUUGCAAGUGUCCCAAAAAAAAAAAAAAAAAGAGUCUCAUAUGCAUUCCUCUCCUAAUUAGUGAACUUUGAUCAUCGCCAUGGGAACUUUACUCGAAACUGAUUGGCAUUUGAGCCCUGAUCUUGUUUGUAGCAACGGAAAACGCCCCCACCUGGCAAACUAAUCAACUCAGCUUGAGGUGCAACUGCAUGCUGCAACUGGCCCAGCCUGUUAGCCAAGUUAACCAAGUUCAGGAGCCAAUGGCCAUAUGAAUGGCAAUCGGCUGGCAGUCUAUGCGGGGCAAUCAAGUGAGAAAAUUAAAAUUACAUGACCAUGGUUUCGACUGCGGAUGCAGGGAUCCCACAUUUAAAGGUUCAUAACUUCCAAGUCAAUUACGCGAUGCGCCCGCUGCGAGAAUCUCGCCUGAGAAUGUAUACUCGAUUCUGGGAUUCCUGGGAUGUGAAUUAGAAAAAUUGCACGCUCAAGUGGAAGAGAGGACCUCUGGUCUGGUUUUGGUCCAGCCUGGUCUGUUCUGUUCUGUUCUGUUCGGUUCUUUCUGACUGACUGACUGACAUAACUCACGAGUGGCAGCAGACGCAGCAGCAGACGCAGAUACUGAUGCAAACAAACACAGAUACGGCCUCCGCAUUUAACCGCUGCUCCGUUGCAGGUGAACUAGACAAGCAGGAGCAGAUCCUCAAGAGCACUCCACAAAUAAAAGGGACUACUGUGGGAAUCAUGCCGAUCUGGCCAGAACCAAACAUAACCCAACAGGCUCGCCAUCAGCGAAUUAAUUUGUGACGCGCGCUCUCCAAGAAGCUCCACCGAUGCUCCCUUCUGGUCCAAAAUACACAGGGAUCCACAUUGCACAGCCUAUACCCAGACCCAUCUUCAUAUUCAGCCAACCCAGUCCAGUUCCAGAUUGCCAGUUUGCAGUCGAGGAGCCAUGGCCUGGAGGCAAUUUACUCUCUUCGCUCGGCGGUGCACGCUGUGGUAGCCAAACUCGUGACUGCAACAAUGCACAGUGGUCUGUGCUUAAUAUAAUAUGGCUUGAAAUCUAAGUAAGAAAAUAAAAUGGUCUAUAAUAUAAGACAGCCACACC